ACGAACGCUGGCGGCGUGCCUAAUACAUGCAAGUAGAACGCUGAAGAGAGGAGCUUGCUCUUCUUGGAUGAGUUGCGAACGGGUGAGUAACGCGUAGGUAACCUGCCUUGUAGCGGGGGAUAACUAUUGGAAACGAUAGCUAAUACCGCAUAACAAUGGAUGACACAUGUCAUUUAUUUGAAAGGGGCAAUUGCUCCACUACAAGAUGGACCUGCGUUGUAUUAGCUAGUAGGUGAGGUAAUGGCUCACCUAGGCGACGAUACAUAGCCGACCUGAGAGGGUGGUCGGCCACACUGGGACUGUGACACGGCCCAGACUCCUUCGGGAGGCAGCAGUAGGGAAUCUUCGGCAAUGGGGGCAACCCUGACCGAGCAACGCCGCGUGAGGGAAGAAGGUUGUCGGAUCGUAAAGUUCUGUUGUAAGUCAAGAACGGGUGUGAGAGUGGAAAGUUCACACUGUGACGGUAGCUUACCAGAAAGGGACGGCUAACUACGUG
rnacentral:rRNA from 1 species